GAAACGCUCCGGAGUUGUUGAUGAAUGAGAAGAGGACUGGAAAGAUGGGUAAGAGGAGGGGUGAGGAUGCCGAGGGGGAGCACCGAGGUCAUAUCGCCAACAGAUUGUGCGGCUGUUUGAGGACCUCCACAGGCCCCACAGACUCGUUUAUCACCCAUUCUGACUCCAAUGGUCUUGCUAACAAGUUGGCGGGUUUUGCGCCUGCAGAGAGCCUCCUGCCAAGUUAGACUGUGCAGAAGUAAGGGGUUGGAGCGGGGGGAGCGGCUCCGGGGCAAGAGGGCGUAGAGAAAGGCCCGGGGGUGGGUGGUGUAAGCGUCUGAAAGUGGCCCACAAAUGCAGCGCUGUGAUUGGGCAGAGAGCUGCUGCUGGCUCGCGAUCUCUAUCUCCAUCUCUUUAUCUAUCUCCGUCUCUCUCCCUGUUUCUCCAUUUUUCUUUCUUUCCUUCUCUCUCCUUCCUUCCUUCCAUCUUUCUUCUUUCCCUUCCUUUUAUUCUUCUAUUUUCGUUUCUUUUCAAGGUUUUUUUUAAAGCCAUGAUGCAAUUUCUUUGGUAUUCACCGUUGUCCCAAAACUUGAAGCAAGCCUCGUAUCCAAGGGGCCAGGCAUGUUGCUUCGGGCUUUGUGCAAACAGGUGGAAUUGCGCUGUGUAAGCAGUAAGAACUGGUGCUGGGGACGCUGUCGCGCGAGGGGGUGGCUUUGGGAGAGCAGGGUUGCUGGCCGCGAUUGUUACUUCCCUUGACAAUUUCCUCCUCCCCCUCCCCCAAGAAGAUAGGAGAAAGCACCGCGGAUCUCCCUCUCACCCCAGGCUCGGGGCGCAGAAGAUGGAGAGAAGAUUCCACUCUCCCCGGAGCAGAUAGGGACGGUCGCGCCAGCCAAUCAGAGCGCGGCUCGGCGCCGGCGCUCCCGGCCGCCUGGGCCGCCGUGUCCUCCAGGCAAGCGAAGUUCCCGCAACUCGUCCGCCUCGAGGGUCCGCGUCUUUCUUGCGCCCGCGGCCCAGCGGAGGCCGAGGGAGCCGUCCAAACUUUAUUAAUCUCUCCUCCUUUCUUUCUCCCUCAGCCCAGUGCAUCUCAAAGCGCUGGAAUCUGUGGAGCAGGAAGCCUGGCAAUUCCAAGAUACGCGAUGAUCUUCAAACAUUCCCGGGAGCCAGUCCUGAGGCUCUGGCUUCAGGGCCUAGUUUCCAUUUAUGCCGCGUUUUUGAGAGUCUAAUACUGUGUCUGGCACAUGAAAGGUCCACGCAGGAUGGUCGCUUCCCCCUUGCUGAGAGUUUUGCCUUCAGCCUAUCUGGGCCGCUGGAAAAGAGGAGAAGAAUAAACAAGAGACAAGCAACUACUCCCCUACCGGCGUUCCGUCCUUGUCCUCACUGCCAAAUCCACUCCAAAGCCGAGGAUGGUGAGACUGUGAAGUUGCAAAGAAACACAGAGCCCACCCCCUUAAAGAAUUACGAUAUAUUUAAAGUUUGCCUCUUUCAGGUUUCUCUCCUUGGCUCCUGCCCCUUUCCCCUCCCGGCUCCUUGUCCUUGACUGAACCUCAUGGGACAGAGAACCUCCUGUCCCCCACGAGGCAAGGCGCGAACCCGCAGAGAUCUGGGGUGCCCUUUGGUUCCCUGCGCUGCCCUGGAGGCGUCCAUAGAGGCCUUUGCCGCCAAGGACAGCAAUUGUUUUAUUUUCGAUGGUUGCUCGCCAGGCCUGCGGGUCGCGGGCCCACCCAGCCGUCGAACUUUCCAGUCGUUAUCAGCGCUGCUCCUAACUUAAUGGAAUAAUGCAAAUUAUAGCCUGCCCAGCUGACACGUCCCUGCGAAUGCGCCGGGGCUGAGCUCUGGCCAGCCGCUCUCUCGACGUCCUGGACGGCCGGAGGGAAUGAAGCUCUGAAUUGUGACAAAAGUGGGGGGGGGGCACCCCAAAUUCUCAAAGCAAUGUUCUUUUUUUUUUCUUUUUUCUUAAGCAAUUGAGCCUUACCAAAUGUCGGGGCCGCACGGAAGCCUUGCAUAUUUUAAAGUGUAACCUGAGCCUUCGCGGUUUCAGCUUCACUUAAAACAUGCAAAUUCUUGAAAUUGAAAAAUCUGAAAAACUUCCGAAGAGUUCUAUCUGAAUAAAUCCAAAUCCAUUGGGAGUCGCUUUGAGGAGACAAAACGCACAGCGAUUUGGGGUGAGGGAUAUUUGUGGGGAGGCAGGACGUGCUGGAUUGGGUUUCCAGGGUCAAGGUGUCUCUGGGCCUUCGACGAUAGCCUUAGCGCAGAGCAGGGAAGUGGCACCGCUAGGCAGCAAGCUCAGUUGCUCUACUUUUGUGACCCAUCCCCCCACC
rnacentral:lncRNA from 1 species